ensembl:misc_RNA Metazoa_SRP Metazoan signal recognition particle RNA
GCAGGCAUGGUGGUGUGUGCCUGUAGUCCUAGCUGCUCAGGAAGCUGAGGCAGGAGGAUCACUUGAGCCCAGGAGUUUGAGGCUGUAGUGAGCUGUGAUCACAGCACUGCAUUCCAGCCUGGGCAACAGAGUGAGACCCUGUCUCUA